GCCGUGCGACCCAGUUUCUGUUCGGCCUCUGUUCAGCCACCGUGAGUGGCUGAGCAGGUCGCCGGAGCCGCCGUGCAGCCUCGUCGGACCGCCGCCUAUCUUCCCGACCUCUUGCCGCCCCCAACCCUCUCUCUUUCUCUCUGUUUUGUAGCGGAUCCAGCAAACCCACAGAAUGGGUUUCCAGCGGCUUUAGGCCCGCUUUUGGGCCGUUUCCGGGCCCCGAACCCGAGGCCCGCUUUGGAGUUUGUCGUUCCUCGCGUCGCCGCCGUCGGAUUGAUCCGAUUUGCGCGCGAUUUGGUGAGUAAUCUCACUAAUCCUGGAUUAGUUGGCUAAUUAUGCUUAAGGUUGGUUUAGUUUUAAUUAAUUAUGUUUAGGUUGUUAGAUUUAAAUAAAUUAGCAUUUAUUAGUCCAUUGUGAUGUGAUUUAGAUAAAUUGAUUGUGCAAUUAGCAAGUAGACGUGGUCUACUAAUUAUUGGAAGUGCCUCAGGAUUUUUCCCGACCCUUAGUGGGCUCUAAUUAGGCUUUUCGGGCCUAAGUGGAUAUUUUUAGUAUUUAAAUAUUAAUUUUCGGAAUUAAAUUAAAUAAUUAUUUAUUUUAUGAAAAUUCAACUGAGAUGGCCCGAGACCGGAAUAUUGUGCUGAUGACCAUGGUGAAGUCCGUUUAUGUAAUCGGGCUUUAUUUUGAGCUAAAUUGAAUUUUUAAUAUUAAUUAUUUAAUUUUAGAAAUUAAUUAUUUAAUUAAUUAUUUUUCAGAAAUUAAGAUGUUGAUG
rnacentral:lncRNA from 1 species